rnacentral:rRNA from 1 species
AGUGAACGCUGGCGGUAGGCCUAACACAUGCAAGUCGAACGGCAGCACAGUAAGAGCUUGCUCUUACGGGUGGCGAGUGGCGGACGGGUGAGGAAUACAUCGGAAUCUACUUUUUCGUGGGGGAUCACGUAGGGAAACUUACGCUAAUACCACAUACGACCUACGGGUGAAAGCAGGGGAUCUUCGCACCUUGCGCGAGUGAAUGAGCCGAUGUCGGAUUAGCUAGUUGGCGGGGUAAAGGCCCACCAAGGCGACGAUCCGUAGCUGGUCUGAGAGGAUGAUCAGCCACACUGGAACUGAGACACGGUCCAGACUCCUACGGGAGGCAGCAGUGGGGAAUAUUGGACAAUGGGCGCAAGCCUGAUCCAGCCAUACCGCGUGGGUGAAGAAGGCCUUCGGGUUGUAAAGCCCUUUUGUUGGGAAAGAAAAGCAGCAGGUUAAUACCCCGCUGUUCUGACGGUACCCAAAGAAUAAGCACCGGCUAACUUCGUG